UUAUCAAUAAGUUUAUUGAUAACAUAGUUUAUCAAUAAUAACUUUGAUAAUUGUACUCAAAUUUUAAAGCGUUUGAUUAUGUCUUUUAAACCUAAAUUUGCUUUUGGACAGGCACUAAAAGGGUUGGAAGGAAGUAUGUUUCACCUCCUGCUCAUCUUCCUCAUCAAUCACUCAUCAUGAUUGGCCGCUUUCUCAUUGCCUAUCGCCUUCACUCUUCUAGCAUUGUUAGGAUGUCCUAGUUUGUUCUAGUCUUGUCCUUGUGUCAAUUAAGACUAGGAAACUUUCGAGAUGGGAUGGGAUACAAGACGAAAAUUCCAUUUUAUGAGAGUUUUCAAGAUGAGACAUUGGAUUGGCAGUAUGCCAGUCCUAUCCUC